GGGUCCGUAGCUCAGUCGGUAGAGCAAGCGACUUUUAAUCGAGAGGUCCCGGGUUCGAGUCCCGGCGGACCCACCA
rnacentral:tRNA from 5 species